CAAAACCAGAUUUCAGGAUGCUAACUCAACUUCUUAAGUACAAAUGAUUAGACCAGAAGCUGUGGGUGGUGCUGGGAUUCAGGGUUACAGUUAGCAGCAGUUGUGGAAAGGCAGCAGUAGCUGGAAGGCUGUCCUCUUAGCCAGGGUCAAGCCUGAGCUAGAUUUUGAGGAUAGGGCAAUCAGUCAAGGGCCAAGAAAACGUGGACAAGGUGACUAUGCCAGGCAGUCAGGGAAAAGAUGGAGCUUCUCGUGACUUGCUGUCUGACUGAGGAGCUCCUUUCACCCCUCAGUUUUCCUUGCUGUCAAAUGGGAUCCCUAACACUCAGACACCUGUAGGAGGGACAGUCUGUGGGGCAGAUAAAGAGAUUUAAAUUGAAGGGCCAUGAGAUAGAUAAUGAUUAAAAAAAAAAAAAACCUUGAGAGAUUUAUCCUUUUGACAUGUCUUCAAAAACCAAUGUUAUCCAAACUGUCUUCCAGGUGCAGAUCUGUGAUAUACCUUGCUUUCUGGACCACCUUGACAAGUGAGCACCUCUUGUAUUGACCACCCUCCUUGCCCUGUUGAUGAAUGGGGAAACAAAAAGGACAGGUCAAGCAGAAGGUCACAGUCCCGCAGUCAUGGAGAAGAGAUGUGUUCUCCAGGCAGCCUCUCUUGGCAGCUGUAUAUGUAAGAGACUGACCAUGAACUUGGUCAGGAAUGUUAAUAGCUGUCAGGGAAAUGAAGGGUACGCUGGUGCCAAAGGUAGCACCACCUACUCACUGACCAGAUUCCACAGGGAGUUUGAUGUUGUAUUGUAAUCAGGACUGUCUGUAGGGGCACACCAAGUAAGUUUCUAUUGAAUUCUAGAAAACUUGACCACUUUACUUAAGUUAAACAAACAUUACCUUGAUAAACAUUUGUGACCAACUCUGAAAUGUUACUCAAAAAUUCCUCCUUUCUGCUCUUACUAAUUGGAGCCCCUGGAGGAAGGGCAGAGGAGAGAUUGGCAUCUUUUCUUAAGAUGCAAAUAUUCCUUAGAAGCCCAGAUUCCUUAAACUUCCAUUUUUUUUUGUUGUUGUUGUUAAGAUCGUGGGUGGAUAAGGUGAACCUGGAAGAAGGAGCUAGAGAUGAGUUACCCCUUAUUUCCACUGACUACACAGCAAUAAUUUUUUCAAUUGGGUUCUGAGAAACCUCUCUGGUGCCCAGAGGAGAGAGCAGGAAGGACUCAACCUUAACUCUCCUCAACUAGGGCAGUAUUGUAUUCAUUUCAUGUAGUGAGCUUCCAGGUACAAUUUCAUUAAGAAGAGAUUUUUCCCUUUGAAAUAAAAAGUUUGAAAGUCAUGGAAAUUUUCGCCUACUUUCAUACAUUUGGUGAGCAUCAUCUAUGGACCAGACACUACUCUUGGUACUGGAGAUAUGUUAAAGCAGCACUUAGCUCCCAGGUCAUCCCUCACAGAAGAUAGCAUUUCUUUUCCCCACACAUUCUUCUACUGGCUUCCCAUGUAAACUAGAUGCUCC
rnacentral:lncRNA from 1 species